AAUCUUUGUGUUUUAGUGACCUUUGAAUGAGCCUUUUAUGUCUGCAGAGGGAGCGGAUCCACCGUGUUGCAGCGCUGCCUGUCUACAGUCACCCAGAAUGGACAAACCAAGCUAACAGCAGGUUACGACUCAGCUCCGGGCUGUAAAUUAUCAUGCAAUUGAAUAACCUUUUGACGAGAGGUUAAACGAUUGUCGGGUGAUUUUUCCCUCCAAAAUGGACCACGAGCUUGAUCACGCAGCGACGACUGUGUUCUGCGGAGGGAGAGUGACGGGUUAUUUAGUGCUGUUUUGAUAUCUGAGCCCGAGGAAUGCCUGCAGAUACAGUGAUCCCUCUGUGUGAGGAGGAAGCUUCACAGAUGAGCUCGCCCAGGUGUUACACCUCACAACAGCAAGUUGAGGAGAGCAUAAAAGAUGUGCAAAUGCACUCUUGCAUGUGUUUCGGAGAGGCGGAAAACAAAGAGUCUUUUUUUUUUUUUUUUUUUUUUUUGUCAGUUGCUGAAAACUCCAGCGUCAACUGACAGACAUUUUAGAUUUUUUAUCAGCUUUUUCUGACAUCUUUGCCACAUGGUUCUACUGUAGAUAAAGACUGAUGUGCGAGACUGUGUAAAGAUCCAACAUGAGAGGAAUUACAUCAGAAAGAGACAAACAGUCUUGGUCUGUGGCAUCUGAUUGUUCCAGCUUGUCUUCAUACCUGCUCAGGUUUCACUGCGAGGCUUGUCAGUCCCUCCGCGGACUUCAAACGCAGCGCUGAAUCCUUCACCUGCACCUUCACUCAUCCCUUCACACCUUGCCGACAACCUGCAGCGCGAGCACUGCGAUGGUAAAUUACACAUAAUUGCUGAGAUUUGAGCUCGACAUAACAAAGACGUUUUGUCGGCUGUUGUGUCAUUACUGGAACAUCACACUUAAGCUAGCGCUCUCUAAUUAAAGCUGUCAGCUUUCCAACACGCAGUCAUCUGCUGUGCAGAAAAUUUCACGUGCGCCUGAUUUUUGGGCUUGUGCUGAACAUAAAUAAGAACGGCCAGACAAAAUGUCUGUGAAAGACAUCCUCUGGUGUUCUGGCAAAUCUAAAUAAACUUCAGAGAGACAAAGUCCACAUGUGGCGAGAGAGAGAGAUCACGCACCGGAUGAGAAGACAAUGACAAAACUUGGCCCUACAGGCCUGCUCGUAUCCAGAGAAUCACAGCUAACAACAGCACAAGACAAUAGCGUUCCCAUGCCCACGGUCUGUGCCACUCUCAUGCUUACCAUUAGAUGUUCUCAUUUUUCUUCCCCGUGUCUUGAUGCAAAGUGAAAACAGAUUGGGACGACAGUGAGAAGUUACCCAAUCACUUAGAUCUCUGGCGCUGUGUGAAAUCCAUUUAUCCCUGAUCAUUAUGACAGUGUUUUUCUGUCUGUAUCGAUAGUCAUUUCCUUUCUCCCUGCAGCAGCCUUAGAGUCUCCGAUGCUGGCGCUGAGCACAGCUCAGUCCCACGGAGGGCAAGCAAAGGAGGAAAUCAAUGGAGAAAAUAUUGCUGCAGGCUCACACAUUUUUAUCUUGCUUUGAACGAGUCAGCUUUAAUUUUGCUUUGAUCUCAAUUUGCUGCUUUUGGGAUGGCUUGGCUGCACAUUCAAGCAGGAGGAAUAAGCUUCCACCGGGGCUUUCUUACAAAAGACCCUUUCAACUGAGGCCUUUAUUUUGCGUCAGUGUCCAUUACUGCCUCACAAGGAAUAAAGAUACAAGGAAUCAAAACAACUAAAUGCUACAGGACUCUGACACACGGGUGCACAUCUCAGGCGGACACUUCGCCAACCGCACUUUAUCUAUUCUAGUCGGGGCGGAUUUACGGCCAAACGGCGGACAAUGUUAGCGAGGGGCCUCAAUAAAGAGAUCCUCAGUGCUGCUGUCAGGAACGGCUCGCCGUUGUUGUGGGGUAACAGGUUGACGAGAUGCACAGCUGGCGUUGUUCUCACUGCUCACAACGCCACGGCACUCCUCUCCCCCGCACAUCAUUAGAGCUGACACACCAAAGGGAGGGCGAUAUUAUAGCAUCACCUCAGGUCUGCUAAAGAUGUCUGCCUCAUCCUUUUCCAAACCAGUGCGUCCUUAGGAGGGGAGUUGUUUGGGAAUUUGUUUCUCUUUUAUAAAGCAGAGACAAAAGCGUAGGAUAAAUGACCGGGCAGAGAAAAGACCAGCGCCUUGCUGGGGAGAAAGGGAAGGGUCUAAUCUAAUUUGGUUAG